UGCACACAUUACUUGUAAGUCGCUUUGGAUAAAAGCGUCUGCUAAAUGGCAUAUG
rfam:Salmo salar isolate Sally breed double haploid chromosome ssa18, whole genome shotgun sequence.